AGGCUGGGCAGAAGGACUUUGUAGAAAGUGGAAAAGAGUUUUGUGUCCAAACAGACAUGAUGGAAGCCAAUGGAUGGAUGGAGUGGGAUGGCCAAGAGCUCAUCAGGUCCCUGUGUCAUUCAGUGAUGCUGUGUCAGGACCUGGUUCCCAGGAUGAUGCCGUGAGACUUGGGGCUGACUGUGGGGGUGCUGGGCUCGCUGGGGACCCGCAGGGUCUAGAAGGCCAUGGACCAGGCCACUUGAUGGGGUGACCAGCCUGCAGAACUGGGUCCAAGGCCUGGAGAUAGGGCCCAGCACUAGGCAUCUGAGGAAUGAGGCUCGCAGGCCCUGGGGAUUCUGCCUGCAGUGACAGCCCUAACAUUAGCCAGAGCCCUCGACGCCUGGAGAAAUGGCAUUGCCCACCCUGAGAGAGAGAGUCAGAUAGAUGUGAGGACGACCACAUAAACAUCAUGAAAGCCUGGGGCAGCUGUUGCUCAUGGCCCGCCAGCCGGCCGUGUUCCCUUUCCUCCCGAGAGCCGCCCUGCCUUGGGACUCACCCAUCUCCAAAGAAAAAUAACCCAGAGAAAUUAGCCCUCGGCUGGAAACGAAGUGGGGAUCAGAUGAUUGCUGAUCGGAGCAAAUGUUUAAAUCGAAUGAGUCAAACGGGACAUUAUUAAAUAAAGCGUGUUUAAAUUUUCUCAAGCAGCAAGCUCACUGGAAGACUGUUUUAAACCCGAUAUUAAGGAUCCGGCUGCCUGUGUGUCUCAAGCUUUGUCCGUGUGCAGGGAAAUAUGCUCUUGACAGUGGUCAAAAGCACACAGCCUGCUCCUCUGCAGGAGUAUUUUCCUCUGGGCAUAAAAUAAAGGCAGAAAGGCUUCUAGGCAACUAAUGAAACUGUUAGUGUGGCAUAAUAAAUGGAAGGCAAGUG